GGACUAGAUGAAGGAAAGAUAGGAGGAGGAGGUGUAGGCUAAGGGGGAGUGGGAAGAAAAACCAUACCGAAUUAACAAAAUGCCUCGUGGCAAUUCAUUAUUGGGUGGAACAUCUUUUUUGUGCAGUAACACAAAAUAACCCUAUCCAACCCUCUCCCUCCUUACGACACAAGUGGAAGAGAUCCUUUCAGGCAUCGCAACGAAGGAAUAGCACUAUUCCGUCUCGCAAAGAACAUACCGGAAUAGAGAGAUAUCCUAUCACCUACUCUCCAUAUAGACAUUAUAUAUGUAUCUUUGUAUACUUAUUAAAG
rnacentral:lncRNA from 1 species